AGAUGAGAAAGAGCAGAACUCGAAUAGGCAAUUGGGGAAAAGAAAAAAAUUUGAGGAACCCCAAAUUUAUAGAUAUGACAGAGGCGGAUCUUCAAGGUGAAAGCAAUCGAGAACCCGUUGGCAAAGAAUUAGAAGUUUCUACCCUAUCCAUGUCUGUGAGGUAUAUGGCAAGUUACACGGUGGUAUUUGCUAUAAGGUUACUGGA
rnacentral:misc_RNA from 1 species